rnacentral:rRNA from 1 species
GUCUUUUUGAGUUAUUUUUAAAGUCUGACCUGCCCACUGAAUUUUUAAAUGGCCGCAGUAUUCUAACUGUGCAAAGGUAGCAUAAUCAUUAGUCUUUUAAUUGAAGGCUGGUAUGAACGGUUGGACGAGGUAUUAACUGUUUCAUAUAUAUUUAUAUUAGAAUUUUAUUUUUUAGUUAAAAAGCUAAAAUGAUGUUAAAAGACGAGAAGACCCUAUAAAUCUUUAUAUUUUUUAUAUUUUAAAUUUUUUGGAUUUAUUUUAUUUUUAUUAUAGGAAAUAUUUUGUUGGGGUGAUGUYAAAAUUUAAUGAACUUUUAAUUAUUUUGAAUCAUUAAUUUAUGAAUUGUUGAUCCAUUAUUAGUGAUUAUAAGAUUAAGUUACUUUAGGGAUAACAGCGUAAUUUUUUUGGAGAGUUCAUAUCGAUAAAAAAGUUUGCGACCUCGAUGUUGGAUUAAGAUAUAAUUUUAGGUGUAGCCGUUUAAAUGUUAAGUCUGUUCGACUUUUAAAUUCUU